GACGAACGCUGGCGGCGUGCUUAACACAUGCAAGUCGAACGGAAAGGCCCUGCUUUUGUGGGGUGCUCGAGUGGCGAACGGGUGAGUAACACGUGAGUAACCUGCCCUUGACUUUGGGAUAACUUCAGGAAACUGGGGCUAAUACCGGAUAGGAGCUCCUGCUGCAUGGGGGGGGUUGGAAAGUUUCGGCGGUUGGGGAUUGACUCGCGGCUUAUCAGCUUGUUGGUGGGGUAGUGGCUUACCAAGGCUUUGACGGGUAGCCGGCCUGGGAGGGUGACCGGGCCCAAUGGGACUGGGGUACCGCCCAGACUCCUACGGGGGGCAGCAGUGGGGAAUAUUGCACAAUGGGCGGAAGCCUGAUGCAGCAACGCCGGGUGCGGGAUGACGGCCUUCGGGUUGUAAACCGCUUUCGCCUGUGACGAAGCGUGAGUGACGGUAAUGGGUAAAGAAGCACCGGCUAACUACGUG
rnacentral:rRNA from 1 species